AACGAACGCUGGCGGCAGGCCUAACACAUGCAAGUCGAACGCCCUAGCAAUAGGGAGUGGCAGACGGGUGAGUAACGCGUGGGAACGUGCCCUUCAGUUCGGGAUAAGCCGAGGAAACUUGGUCUAAUACCGGAUACGUGCGAGAGCAGAAAGAUUUAUCGCUGAAGGAUCGGCCCGCGUCCGAUUAGCUAGUUGGUGAGGUAACGGCUCACCAAGGCGACGAUCGGUAGCUGGUCUGAGAGGAUGAUCAGCCACACUGGGACUGAGACACGGCCCAGACUCCUACGGGAGGCAGCAGUGGGGAAUAUUGGACAAUGGGCGCAAGCCUGAUCCAGCCAUGCCGCGUGAGUGAUGAAGGCCCUAGGGUUGUAAAGCUCUUUCGCCAGGGACGAUAAUGACGGUACCUGGAUAAGAAGCCCCGGCUAACUUCGUGCCAGCAGCCGCCGUAACAC
rnacentral:rRNA from 1 species